rnacentral:rRNA from 1 species
UACAGAGGGGGCAAGCGUUGUUCGGAAUUACUGGGCGUAAAGGGCGCGUAGGCGGCCCGCUAAGUCGAACGUGAAAUCCCCAGGCUCAACCUGGGAACUGCGUCCGAGACUGGAAGGCUCGAAUCCGGGAGAGGGAUGUGGAAUUCCAGGUGUAGCGGUGAAAUGCGUAGAUAUCUGGAGGAACAUCGGUGGCGAAGGCGGCAUCCUGGACCGGUAUUGACGCUGAGGCGCGAAAGCCAGGGGAGCAAACGGG